rnacentral:lncRNA from 1 species
GUCCCAUGGCAACAAGGAUCAGAGGCAGAGCUGCUUUCCAUGCCGUGAACUGGGAGCUUCUGGAGAAGGUAGCUGGAGAAGAUUCCCAGAAGCCAGGAAUAUUGGGGACCAUGGGACACCAUGCCAAGAGUGAGCCCUCAUGAAAACUGCACUCUGGGUGCUGACGGCAUUGUCAACGGAAGUUCAUCAAACAUGGUGGACGUUCCUUCUGGUGUAGUUUGACAGAUGCUGGCCAGUGGGAGCUGCAG